UUUUUUUUUUUUUUUUUUUUGAGACGGAGUCUCGCUCUGUCGCCCAGGCUGGAGUGCAGUGGCCGGAUCUCAGCUCACUGCAAGCUCCGCCUCCCGGGUUCACGCCAUUCUCCUGCCUCAGCCUCCCGAGUAGCUGGGACUACAGGCGCCCGCCACCUCGCCCGGCUAGUUUUUUGUAUUUUUUAGUAGAGACGGGGUUUCACCGUGUUAGCCAGGAUGGUCUGGAUCUCCUGACCUCGUGAUCCACCCGUCUUGGCCUCCCAAAGUGCUGGGAUUACAGGCUUGAGCCACCGCGCCCGGCCUCAUUUUCAUUUUAACUUGCAUUUCCCUGAUGUCUAAUGAGCGCUGAGUGUCUUUUCCUGACAUAACUGGUCCUUUCUGUCUUUGAUUCUUCUGUUGUUCUUUCCCUGCCUUCUUUUGGAUUAGUCAGAUAUUUUCUAUUAUUUCAUUCUCUUUUCUUUGUUGGCUUCUUAGCCAAACCUCUUUUGUUCAUUUUUUCCCUAGUGCUUUUUCUCUAGGGCACUGACUAUGUAUGCCUCACACACCAAAUUUAAUGUAGGGUCAGUAUUGUAUCACUUCAGUCUUCCCUCUUCAUACAUAACCCUUCGCAUCUUGCACCUCACACCUGGAGUUCCACACUUCACCAGUGUGCAGAGCUUAUCAGUGGAUGACCUCUCUCCACCCAUCCUUCACGCUGUCCUUACCUUACCAGCAACAGAGUGGGUCCCUCUCUCUACAAAAAAAGGAAAAAUUAGCCGGGCGUGGGGGCACUCACCUGUGGUCCCAACUACUUGGGAGGCUGAGGUGGGAGGAUCACUUGAGCCCAGGAAUUCUAGGCUGCACUGAGAUAUGAUCAAACCACUGCACCCCAGCCUGGGUGACAGAGCAAGACUGUCUGAAAAUAAAACAAAACAAAACAGAAAGGCCUUUCCUGCAGCACUGCUGGACUUCCAGUCUUUGUGCCGUCCUCAACUCUGUAACAGCUGCUUCCUGGUAAACCCCAUGGAGUCGUCCCACACGUGUAGUCCAGCCUAGGCCAAGGACUUUCAGGGAACCCUACACUGACUUCUGGCUCCCCACUUCUGCUAAGUUUCUUCCCCUCCAGUGCCCUGCUUUGCUGGCCUGCCACUUUAGCUGCCCGGAAGUCUGGUCUCUUGCCUCUCACACCAUUACAGCGCACCACACUACACUAUGUUCACGCAUUUAGCAGCUGUGUUCACACUCAAACUAUCUCAUAUAUACAUUUUGUUAAAAAAAACUUCAGGACUCUCUAAACUUAUGAUGCCAAGGGUGAAGUUAAGCCCUGGAGACUGAGUCAGUAGCAAGUUUGCAAUUCUGCUUCUUCGAUUACAGUUUCAUGCUCUUCCUCCUUGUUCUUGAGCGGAAUUGUCUUCCCCAUUGUUCUUGUUCUGUAAAUUAGGGUUCUCCAACCCCUAGGGCCACAGACAGCUACUGGUCAGGCCACACAAGCAGGAGGUGAGCCUCGGGCCAGUGAGCAAAGCUUCAUCUGUAUUAUCAGCCGCUCCCCAUCGCUCGCAUUACCGCCUGAGCUCUGCCUCCUGUCAGGUCAGCAGCAGCACAGGAUUCUCCUAGGAGGGUGAAUCCCAUCGUGAACUGCACAUUGGAGGAACUAGGUU
rnacentral:lncRNA from 1 species